rnacentral:tRNA from 1 species
AAGCAGAGCGUGCAUGGUUUGGAAAAUGUGAUGAUGUGACUUUACGAUAUCAGUGACAUGAAUAUCGAUAUCCCCC